ACCAGGGUUUAUUAAAGGUAAUUCUGUGACCAGCUACAAUGUACCAGGGUUGAUUAAAGAAAAGCAGAGUGAUGAUUGGAAGAGUCAAGACAGAACUUUAUAGAGAAUGAAUGGAACAUUUGAUUUUAAUGUUGACUUUGAUAGAUUGUAUAAAUAAAACAAAAAUUUUGUGA